rnacentral:snoRNA from 1 species
UCCCUCCAUAUCCCUUUCCCAUCGGAUCUGAAUACCGGUCUUGUGGUCAAAAAAGGAGGAAAAGGAAAAAUUCAAACUGGUCUUGGCCUUUUUGCUGGUACAUCCCAGCUCUGAGAGGGGCCAGUUUGAUGACAGU